rnacentral:rRNA from 1 species
AAAAAUAUUUUUCGGAUGCGGCGCGAUUCGCCCUUCAGGCCUAACACAUGCAAGUCGAGGGGCAUCACGGGUAGUUAAUAUCUGGUGGCGACCGGCGGAUGGGUGCGUAACGCGUAUGCAACCUUCCUUAUGCAGGGGGAUAGCCCAUGGAAACGUGGAUUAAUACCCUAUAAUAUCAUCUGAUCGCAUGUUUAGGUGAUUAAACGAAUUUUGGCAUAAGAUGGGCAUGCGUCUGAUUAGCUAGUUGGCAGGGUAACGGCCUGCCAAGGCUACGAUCAGUAGGGGUUCUGAGAGGAUUAUCCCCCACACUGGAACUGAGACACGGUCCAGACUCCUACGGGAGGCAGCAGUGAGGAAUAUUGGUCAAUGGGCUCAAGCCUGAACCAGCCAUCCCGCGUGCAGGAUGACGGCCUUAUGGGUUGUAAACUGCUUUUCUACGCAAAGAACGGGUCUUACGUGUAAGGCAUUGACGGUAGUGUAGGAAUAAGCAUCGGCUAACUCCGUGCCAGCAGCCGCGGUAAUACGGAGGAUGCAAGCGUUAUCCGGAUUCAUUGGGUUUAAAGGGUGCGCAGGCGGAGAUAUAAGUCAGUGGUGAAAAGCUGCCGCUCAACGGUAGUCUUGCCAUUGAUACUGUUUCUCUUGAGUAUGGAUGAGGUAGGCGGAAUGUGCAGUGUAGCGGUGAAAUGCAUAGAUAUUGCACGGAACACCAAUUGCGAAGGCAGCUUACUGGGCCAUUACUGACGCUCAGGCACGAAAGCGUGGGGAUCAAACAGGAUUAGAUACCCUGGUAGUCCACGCAGUAAACGAUGUUCACUCGCUGUUUGCGAUAUACUGUAAGCGGCUUAGUUAAAGCAUUAAGUGAACCACCUGGGGAGUACGAUCGCAAGGUUGAAACUCAAAGGAAUUGACGGGGGCCCGCACAAGCGGUGGAGCAUGUGGUUUAAUUCGAUGCAACGCGAAGAACCUACCAGCUCUUGACAUGUCAGGAAGUUUGCAGAGAUGCAGAUGUGCCUUUCGGAACCUGAACACAGGUGCUGCAUGGCUGUCGUCA